rnacentral:lncRNA from 1 species
AGGAGAAUGACUAAAGCACAUGAGAUACAAAAUGCCUCUACUGGGAAAAAGUAGGAUAGCUCAUAUACUUGUAAACAGUGGAGCAUCUGAAUUGCCACAGUCCAUAUGGAAGUCAGAUGGUCCUGUUGUCUUCAUGUGGUCUAUUUUAGGUAAUGAGGUGAUUCAAUAGGAAAUGUAGAGGCAACCUGACAACAAGGAAAUUACAGGAGACCUCAGUGCUGUGGAGCAAGGGACUAAGAAGUUUCAGAGCUAAAGAUGAAGAUGAUGAUCUGUAUGACACUUGCCUUCAUCACAAUUGCCUGCUCUUGGUGCUAUACUAUAGCACUGACUGUUCAGAUUUGAUGGGACAGAGAGUUAGGUGGGUCAUUUGCCUUUGAGAUCGACUUUCCUCAGAAUUCUACUUUUUUUAAUGAGAAUUUCUUCCUUUGCUUUCUCUGGACAGGUGAAGAAGUCCUCAGGGCUGAAAAGUUGUGUUUAUACAUGUAGUUCUGUCUGAAAGGAAUGUGUUCAAGCAUAAUGAUCUUACUCAGCUAAUAAAUAAUAGGAACAUAUGAAAUUUGCAGUUUACUCCUACACAGAAGGGUCAGCUCUGCAUGCCCCAUGAAAAUCUGAGAUCAGAUAGGCAUGUCUGUUUAGUGUUUUACAGGAUGACAAACAAAAAUCUAAAAAGGAGAAAGACAAUCUGUAAGGUCAAUCUAGAUGAGCCUACAGUGCACGACAGGUGCAAUCCUGGUAGCUGCGUCAUAUCUGGUCUCCCAGAUAUGGUCCUGGUCUCCCAUGCAAACCUUGGCCACACUCUGCCUCCAAAUAUGGCCAUGCAUGACCCCCAUUGUCUUCAAAGCUUGCAUUUGGAAUGAAAUACUGGUAUAGACUCAGAAGCUGUAGUGCAUUCUCUUUGAUAAAGAGAUGACAUUGAGAGUACCUUCAGAGUUCAUCUACCACGCGGUUCAGACAUAUGCAUGAUCCCUGCUAAGUGUCACAUACUUGACACCCUCUUCAAUUUUACGAAAUAAAAGAUAUUCUUGAUUUCUACUAGGAUUUCCC